AGUGUAAUUAUAAAUGUAAUUCCAUAAAUUAAUUACAGAUGUAAUUGCAAGUCGGUAUUUUUAAAAUAUAAGUACAAUGUAAAAACAUUUUUCCCAAGUAAAUAAGUAAACCGUCUUUGUGUAUCUAUAGUGUUUGCCCAUAACUGUAGAAGAUCAUGACAGUCUGCACUCCUAAAAAUAAACUUUAUUUAUUAGCAUUGAUGAUUCCAGUAACAUCCAUAGAACCUUUAUAUUACACAAAAGGUUCUUGACAGCUGCAGUUCUUUAAAUUGUUUUUGCACUGGUAAAAUGGUUAUUUUAAGAACAUUUCACUGAAAGGCUCUUUGGGGAACCUUAAAGUGUUCUUCAAUGCAUCACUGCAAUAACCCCAUUUUGGUACCUUUAUUUUAAGAGUGUAGCUUGAGUUAUGCAUUCUUGCUAAAAUAUUUUGGGUUACGCAUGUAACCAUUUUUCCCCGAGAGGGAACGAGACCCUGCGUCCUCAUAGUGUCCGCUAGAGGAUGCAGCAUGAGUUCCCUAGAAGGGGAACAUCUUGGGUUACGCAUGUUACCAUGUUUCCCCGAGAGGCAAGGAGAUUGUGCGUCCUCAUAGUGUUCCCUAGAGGAUGCAGCAUGAGUUCCCUAGAAGGGGAACAUCUUGGGUUACGCAUGUUACCAUGGUUCCCUGAGAGGGAACGAGACACUGCAUCCUCUAACGUACACUAUGAGGAUGCAGUGCGAGUUCCCUGGAAGGGGAACUCUUGUUAUAAUGAACAAAUCUGUCUACAGGGCAUAAUGUACCUCUUUUUGCAUAAUAUCUGUGCUUUGUUGCUUAUGAUGACAGAAUUCACAGUAGUGCAUUCAGUCAGUGAAUGUGCACACUCAACAAAACUAAUUUUCAACACUAAUCUAAGUGGUUUUGAUUGGUCAUUCGUGCACUCAUAAACAUCUGUGACUGGCCAUAAUAUUGCAGAAAAACAACAUGUAAAACAAAAUCUUUUAUGCAACACAAGUGGAACUAAAUGUAAUGCCAAAAUCAACACUUUCCAUGUCAUUUCGCAUUUCACUUUAAUCACAGCAAUCAUAAGAUUUAGUGUAAUUCUGCAGAGACAUUUUUUUUUGCCACGUUUGUUAAAUCUGUGGGGUGUUUUUUGUUCAUUUUGGUGGAAUUUUUGCCCCAAGCCCCCAUUAAUUUCCAACCCUGCAUUGUAUUUAUUACAUGAUAAUUAAUGUAACAGAUCUGGUAAACUUCUAUUAUAAAUGUGAAUCUUUUUCUAAAAUAACUCAGCAUGUACAGUGGUGUUCAGAAAUAUUUUUUUAUGUAUUCUUUGUAUUCUGUGAUCUCCUCUUCACAAUCUUCAUGAUGAACUAAUAUAAUACAGUGAUCCCUGUUUUUCCACAGCUUCCUGGUUUUAGACAGCGUGCUGCCCCAUCUCAGCCCGAGGCCGUCACCCCUAGCCAACCUCAGGUGGAAGUGGUGGUGUCAGAGGUGGAGCCAAUGCCUGAGCGUGAACCCGAACCCAAAUCUGAACCGAUAGAAGAAAUCCCCAGCCCUCCCACUGAACCUCAAGUGGCGCCCAUUGACUCUUUAACAGACGUUUGAUGCUUUGUGCUCAUGUGAUCUGUAUGUAUAUUGUAGAGAUGAGUGAGAUUUAAGCAGCAAGGGUUUUUGUAUGAAAGUGAUGUAUAAAAUCAAUAUGAUAGGGCUUUGUAAAAUAGGCCAUUAUCAUCAUACUUAGAAAAGAUGGUUCAACCAAAAAUAGAAAUUAAUUUGCUCCCUCAUGUUGUUCCAAACCCCUGACUUUUGGUUACACAUUAUUUUCAGGUGUCCUUGUUACAGUGUAAUUAUACAUUUAAGUAAUGAGUAAUAUUCAUUAACCACAUGAACUUACUAUAGGGUUAGGAUUAGGGUUUGACAUAGGGUUAUUUGCAUGUUUUUAUGCAGAAUUUAUUGUUAUUAUAAUAGUAAGUACAUGUAAUGUGUAACAAGGACACCUUAAAAUAAAAUGUUACCUGACUUUCUUUGGUACAUUGAAAAUGGAUGGGGACCAAAGUUGUCAAGCUCCAAAAAGGACAAAAAAAUCCCCAUAAAAGCAAAAACAAGCGUGGUUCGUAUAACUUUCUUUUGAAGUCAUACAUUUAUGUCAUCCAUUAAAAAUAUUGCUUGACUACUGUGAUAACCCAUUCAUGUUAUAAAAAAGAGCAAUUUAGACAUCCUAUUAUCCUACUAUUAUUUUAUCCUUUUGCAUUCGACAUCUUUAAAGAAAUAUUUUUAAAAGCUAUGGGUUUCAAAAGACAUGAGAGUAAAUUUUUAAUUUUGAGGUGAACUAUUGCUUUAACAUUGUAUUACCUGCAGAGUUUCUUCUUGUCUGACAGCUGAAGACUUACAGUGCUUGCAAAGCAGCACACAGAUAUUCUUUAAAUAUUCAAGGU